GCCUUGGUGGCUCAGUCGGUUAAGCGUCUGACUUCAGCUCAGGUCAUGAUCUCACAGUUCGUGGGUUCGAGCCCCACGUCAGGCU
rnacentral:tRNA from 1 species